CCUACGGGAGGCAGCAGUGGGGAAUAUUGCACAAUGGGGGAAACCCUGAUGCAGCGACGCCGCGUGAGUGAAGAAGUAUUUCGGUAUGUAAAGCUCUAUCAGCAGGGAAGAAAAUGACGGUACCUGAUUAAGAAGCCCCGGCUAACGACGUGCCAGCAGCCGCGGUAAUACGUAGGGGGCAAGCGUUAUCCGGAUUUACUGGGUGGAAAGGGAGCGUAGACGGCAGCACAAGUCGGGAGUGAAAUGCCGGGGCUUAACCCCGGAACUGCUUUGGAAACUGUACAGCUAGAGUGCAGGAGAGGUAAGUGGAAUUCCUCGUGUAGCGGUGAACUGCGUAGAUAUUAGGAGGACCCCCAGUGGCGAAGGCGGCUUACUGGACUGUACCUGACGUUGCGGCUCGAACGCGUGGGGAGCAAACAGGAUUAGAUACCCGUGUAGUC
rnacentral:rRNA from 1 species